CUGAUGUUAUGAUUGCUGGAAAGGUUGCUCUUGUUGCUGGUUAUGGAGAUGUCGGCAAGGGAUGUGCUGCUGCCAUGAAACAAGCUGGUGCCCGUGUGAUUGUGACUGAGAUUGACCCAAUCUGUGCUCUCCAGGCUACCAUGGAAGGCCUCCAGGUUCUUCCUCUUGAGGAUGUUGUUUCUGAGGUUGAUAUCUUUGUGACCACCACCGGUAACAAGGACAUCAUCAUGGUUGACCACAUGAGGAAGAUGAAGAACAAUGCCAUUGUCUGCAACAUUGGUCACUUUGACAACGAAAUCGACAUGCAUGGUCUUGAAACCUUCCCUGGUGUGAAGAGGAUCACAAUCAAGCCACAAACCGACAGAUGGGUCUUCCCAGACACCAACAGUGGCAUCAUUGUGUUGGCCGAGGGUCGUCUCAUGAACUUGGGAUGUGCCACUGGACACCCCAGUUUUGUGAUGUCUUGCUCUUUCACUAACCAAGUCAUUGCCCAACUCGAGUUGUGGAAUGAGAGGAGCAGUGGCAAAUACGAGAAGAAGGUGUACGUCUUGCCAAAGCACCUUGACGAGAAGGUUGCUGCCCUUCAUCUUGGAAAGCUCGGAGCCAAGCUUACCAAACUCACCAAGGAUCAAGCUGACUACAUUAGCGUACCUGUUGAGGGUCCUUACAAGCCUGCUCACUACAGGUACUGAGGGGAAGAGACGCUCACAGUGGAACAACGAUACGGCGGCAUGAUUGUUUUGUUUUUAAUACUUUUAUUUUGUUUAGGUAGUGUGUUUUUAUUUUUGUUGGGGGAUAUUUUGCUGGAAAGUUGACCUAAAUGUGUUUGAAUAAUAUUUGAAUUAUGGUUGGGGUGGUGUCAUAUGAUAUUGUACCAAGUUAGAUUCAUUUGCUUUCUUGUUUCUAUAAAAUUUGCUUCAAGGAAACAAAGCAUCAUGUUUUUCAUUUUCACUACAUCUUUGCUUUAUUUACUUGAUGUUAUUGCAAUUCUUCUCUUAUUUGGCUUCUGUUUAUGCAUCCAUAUGAGAGAGUUCACUUCUAAGAGGGAACAUAUGGUUGACUCCUAGUGAAGAUUUGCGUAGUCUUUGAAAUUUAUAUUUGUGACUUUCGAAAAGCAUAAUAGAGAUGAAAGGAGUAAAUUACUGUACUUUUUAAAUUAAACUUUAGGGAUGGGAACCACCUUGGGGAUUAUCACACCUCAGCACUCAAAAUAACUCCUUUUUGUGAAUAAAACUCCUUUCGUUUCACAAAGAAAUUUAAGAAUAUAAAGUAAUUUUUGAAUUUUAUGAUUCUAAAUUGGAAUUUGAUUAAAUACAAAAUUGUACUUUGAUUUACUGACCUUAAACACGUCACAAGAGGCCAUUCUUUUCGAAAUAAACUAAAAAAAAAAGUCAUUCUUUUUUAAACGGAGAGAAUAUCAAAAAAAAAGAUGUCCUUUCGUUUCACAAAGAAGUUUAAGAAUAUAAAGGAAUUUUUGAAUUUUGUAAUUCUAAAUUAGAGUUUGGUCAAAUACAAAAUUUUAUUUUGAUCUACUGACCUUAAACACGUCACAAGAGGCUAUUCUUUUCAAAAUAAACUAAAAAAAAAAUCAUUCUUUUUUAAAUGAAGGAGUAUAAAAAAAAGAUGAAAGAUUCUUAAUUUUUUUUUUCUAAUUGUACAAAUAAUUAACUACAUUGAGCAUAAAUCUCUCUUUACAUCAUUUAAAAUGAUGACACACUUGAAUUUUUUUUUUUUUUGGGAGAAUUUGAAAUUUCAGAUCAUAAAUUUGAGCCCCAUUUAGCCAAAACAAUAAUUUGUAUGUACACUUCUUCUAACUAUUUUGUGCAAUCUAAAAGGACCUCAAAUUUGAGAUAUUUGGGUGAAAAAGUUGAAUGCUUGUUGGAAAAGAAAUAGCUUUUUUAAAGGGAGAACAAAACAAAAUUUGCUUGUAAAAAAAUAAAGUAAUUAUAAACUUAUUUGCCUAAAAUUAAAUGAUCUUUCACCAACCACCACCACCAAAUUUUCUUUGUUUUUUUCAACUUCAUUUCACCUAAUGCUAUCCAAUUAGAUAAGAUAGUCUAAUUAACCAUGGUUUAAUAAAAGAAACAUCAUGCAUCUAUUAAUUAUGGUUUGAGUUCGAGUUCUAAUAUAUAUGUAAAAACUUGAUAGAAAAGAAAAUCCUUCUGUUUUGAAUGAAUAUUAUGUAAUGGAAAAUCGAAUUAAUUGAACUCUAAAUAUCAACAAAUAUAUAGGGAAAUUUUAUAAGUGAGGUUUGUGAGAAUAGAGUAUAUGCAAAUUUUAUUAUUAUCAUAUGGAGGUAGAUACACUAUUUUCAAAAGACCGUCGACUCUAAUACAACUAUUUAAAUAUAACGAGAAAAUUAUGAUACGCCACAAAAAAUAGUAUCAAGUCUACUAAAAAGGAGCAACAACAAUAAUAAAAGAUGCAUCAAUUGAAACGUAAUAAAUAAUAAAUAUACUAAGAUAGAUUAUUAAAAACGAUGAUGUAGUAAAGUUUGAAACUAAUUUUAUUCUUUGUAAGGAAAAAUUGUAGUACUUUCUCCGUUUCACAAAGAAUGAUCUAAUUUGACUUAACACGAAGUUUAAGAAAAUAAAGAAGACUUUUGAUCAUGUGAUCUCAAAUUAAAGUUAUGUCAAAUGUAUAAAAUUACACUUUAAUAUUGUGGCCUUAUAUAUGUUAUCUAGAAAAUUAUUACCAAAAAAAAGAAAAAUAUAAUUUUUUUGAAACACUGAAUCAGAAAAAAAAUAAAAUUGUAGUCACUAUUGUGAGUCACUUUAAUUAAAGACAACAUGGUCCUUUUGCCGCACCGCAAUUUGGAAAUUAAGAUGUGCACUUAUAGUAGCUAAUUCAAUUUUAUUGGGUUCAUGUGGGAGACGUUAAAAUAAUCGUAUUGUUGAAUAUUUUAUCUUUUUUACUUUUAAUUUAAUAGAGUGUUUUUAUAACAUGGUAAAAAAUAUCGCUUAAUAAAUCACACAUUUGAAAACAUGAACAAUAGCCUGACACAAGUAAACAUGCAAAGGUUUCGACAUGUAAAAGGGGAGUUCUUGUGAGCAUAGUUCAUAUUCAUUUAUCUCUAAAAUGUAUAAGGUGGAGGCUCAACGUAUAAUUUUUGAGACUCAUUUUAGCUGUGCUCAAACAUUAUUCAUUAUUUUCUCGAGGACAAUUUUUCUUAAUUAUACCUAUACUGAUUGCCACGAAUAUUAACAUUUUUUUUUCAAGGUAAUGUUUGAUUUCCUGAAAUAUGUUACAUUUGAGAGAAAAAAGAGAUUAAUCAUUGCAUUCAUCCAUAAAAUACAAUGUUAUAAUUUGGUUCAUGAACUAUCAUUGGUAUCUUGAUCACAAAUAUAUCUUUCCAUUAAUGUACAAAUUUUACACAAAAAAUACAAUAAAAACCUUCAGAGCUUUAUGGAUCAAUUGCUAAAUGUAAGACAAAUUCAAACAAAUCGUAUUUAGAAUGAAUAGGUUAAAAAUAUUUGAACUAUUAUACUUUCACGAGUUACAUGUAUCUAAUAGCCGUAUGUUCCUUUUAUAUCACCAAACAAUAAUUUCGUGUAUAUUAAAAAACCCACCAUCACAUAACUACAUGUGUGUCUAUUACACACCCAAUUUACCUAAAAACAAUGCCAACUAACGAGGGGGUUUUAUUAUAGAGAGAAUUAUUAUUCCAAGCGUUAAUAUAUUGAGAUCUCUUUCACUCUUAAUCAAAUAAAAUUCGAAAUCAAAAAAUGAAAAAUGCAAGGGAGUAUUAAUUACAAGAAAAUAUGCUACUACAUCAUCCUUUCUCAUUCGUGUCUGAUAUUCAUAUUGAAGUCUAACUAAUUCAGGUUCACAUCACAUAAAAUCUCGUUCAUAAAAAAAUAUUCAAAUAUAAAUGAGAUUUGAUUAAGCAAAAUGACUAAUCUUUUUCUACCCCAUCAUCGCUACCAACCAACCAACUCCUAGAAAUAAAUUUAAAAACAUCACCUUAAUGAAAAAAUAAACUAAGCACUUCCAAUUUUGAAAAGAAAAUACAUUCAUCCAAUCAAAAUUUUAGAUAUUUUUUAUUUAUCAAAUUUGUAGGUCUACCAAACCUCAAUUUAAUCCAAUCAACUAUUCAGAUCUGAAACAAAUCUUGACCGUCCAUUUCCAUCAGAGAAGCCUAUUUAUACCAAUCACUUCCUUCCCUUAUUUCUUGCAACACUCUUCUUCUUCCUUAAAACCCAAAGGAAGAAAAGAAAAUCGCCUCUUUCUGUCAAUUUCAUCUCAAAAUCUCCCAUUUUCUCUCAGUUUUUCUCUUAUACUCGCCUUACCCAUGGCUCUACUCGUUGAGAAGACCACCUCUGGCCGCGAGUACAAGGUGAAGGACAUGUCCCAGGCUGACUUCGGCAGGCUCGAAAUCGAGCUUGCCGAAGUUGAAAUGCCUGGUCUCAUGGCUUCCCGUGCUGAAUUUGGCCCUUCACAGCCCUUUAAAGGUGCAAAGAUCACUGGAUCUCUGCAUAUGACUAUCCAAACUGCUGUUCUUAUUGAAACCCUAACUGCUUUGGGUGCUGAAGUUAGAUGGUGUUCUUGCAACAUCUUCUCAACUCAGGACCAUGCUGCAGCAGCCAUUGCACGUGACAGUGCUGCUGUUUUUGCCUGGAAAGGUGAGACUUUGCAGGAGUACUGGUGGUGUACUGAGAGGGCACUUGAUUGGGGUCCAGGUGGUGGUCCUGAUCUGAUUGUUGAUGAUGGAGGUGAUGCUACUCUGUUGAUUCAUGAGGGUGUUAAGGCUGAAGAGGAGUUUGCUAAGAAUGGAACAAUCCCAGAUCCUAGUUCUACUGAUAAUGUUGAGUUUCAACUUGUGCUUACUAUUAUUAAGGAGAGUUUAAAGACUGAUCCUUUAAAAUACACUAAGAUGAAGGAGAGACUUGUUGGUGUUUCUGAGGAAACUACCACUGGUGUUAAGAGGCUUUACCAAAUGCAGGCUAAUGGAACUUUGCUUUUCCCUGCUAUUAAUGUUAAUGACUCUGUUACCAAGAGCAAGGUAUGUGUGUUUUGCUUACUCUGUUUUUGUUUCUUGUGUUUCAGAUCUCUGCAUUUUUGUUUUGUCAAUUACUGUUUGAAAUACAGAUCUUAUAUGAAUAGUUAUAUAUUUUCUUGGAUCUUAUACAGAUGAAUUAUACUUGAACUUAAUAAUGGGUUGAUCUAUACUAAGUAUAGUAUCAGUAAUCAGUCGAAAUUUAUCCAAGAAUCUCAUUCCGGUAGAUUAUUUGUCGUAGUGGACUUUAGUAGCUUAAAGUUCACCAAUUGGAAGAUUGUCACUUGAAUUAUAAUAGGAACAUAUUUCAUUUGAUCUUUCUUGUUAAUCUGAUAAUAGAUGGUUACUUAAAUGUCUGAUCUUUGGUACAACUUUCCACUUACUAAUAUGCUGAUGAAUUGCAGCUGUGAUUAGGUUAGAUAUGUAUACUUAUAUGUCCUGUAAUUGGCUAAUGGAAGUCUGAUUCAAUUAAGAUGCUUGUUGUUGUAGAUCUUGUUUAGAUAAGAUAAUGUUAGCUUAUGGACUGAUGGUUGUAUUGAUUCUUUUGGUGUUUCAGUUUGACAACUUGUACGGAUGCCGCCACUCACUUCCCGAUGGUCUCAUGAGGGCUACUGAUGUUAUGAUUGCUGGAAAGGUUGCCCUUGUU
rnacentral:lncRNA from 1 species